AUUGAACGCUGGCGGCAGGCUUAACACAUGCGAGUCGAGCGGGGUGAUGGUGCUUGCACUAUCACUUAGCGGCGGACGGGUGAGUAAUGCUUAGGAAUCUGCCUAUUAGUGGGGGACAACAUCUCGAAAGGGAUGCUAAUACCGCAUACGUCCUACGGGAGAAAGCAGGGGAUCACUUGUGACCUUGCGCUAAUAGAUGAGCCUAAGUCGGAUUAGCUAGUUGGUGGGGUAAAGGCCUACCAAGGCGACGAUUUGUAGCAGGUCUGAGAGGAUGAUCCGCCACACUGGGACUGAGACACGGCCAGACUCCUACGGGAGGCAGCAGUGGGGAAUAUUGGACAAUGGGGGGAACCCUGAUCCAGCCAUGCCGCGUGUGUGAAGAAGGCCUUAUGGUUGUAAAGCACUUUAAGCGAGGAGGAGGCUACUGAGACUAAUACUCUUGGAUAGUGGACGUUACUCGCAGAAUAAGCACCGGCUAACUCUGUGCCAGCCGCCGCAGUAA
rnacentral:rRNA from 1 species